GACGAACGCUGGCGGCGUGCUUAACACAUGCAAGUCGAGCGAAGUGGCGAACGGGUGAGUAAUACGUGGGUAACUGCCCUCCUUUUUGGGAUAAGCCUUGGAAACGGGGUCUAAUACCGAAUAAGGGGGAUGGGCUCGCGGCAUAUCAGCUUGUUGGUGGGGUGAUGGCCUACCAAGGCGGUGACGGGUAGCCGGCCUGAGAGGGCGACCGGCCACAUUGGGCUGCGAUACGGAGCAAAGGCUUACGGGAGGCAGCAGUUGGGAAUAUUGCACAGUGGGGGAAACCCUGAUGCAGCAGCGCCGCGUGCGGGAUGACGGUCGUCGGGUUGUAAACCGCUUUCAGCCAUUACGCGGUAGUGGCAGAAGAAGCACCGGCUAACUACGUGCCAGCAGCCGCGGUAAUAC
rnacentral:rRNA from 1 species